ACGGAGGGUGCAAGCGUUAAUCGGAAUUACUGGGCGUAAAGCGCACGCAGGCGGUCUGUCAAGUCGGAUGUGAAAUCCCCGGGCUCAACCUGGGAACUGCAUUCGAAACUGGCAGGCUAGAGUCUUGUAGAGGGGGGUAGAAUUCCAGGUGUAGCGGUGAAAUGCGUAGAGAUCUGGAGGAAUACCGAUGGCGAAGGCAGCCAUCUGGCCUAAUACUGACGCUGAGGUACGAAAGCAUGGGGAGCAAACAG
rnacentral:rRNA from 1 species